ACCACAAGAAGGUCUCUCGCUAUUCUACCUUGCUCUAUUGGCAAGUGUUUUCCUCCCCUGAUAAGUCUCAAAAUUAAAUAGAACUUUUAACCGAUGGAUCUUCCAAUAGAGGAGCUCCAUGUUAUUAUCAAUUAGUCAACUUAAAUCAUUUUCACUUUUUACUUCAUAUUCUUCUCUCCAUGUUAUCUUUUGACCUAAUUAACUUAC
rnacentral:lncRNA from 1 species